UACGGGGGGCAAGCGUUGUUCGGAAUUACGUGGCGUAAAGGCUCGUAGGUGGCCAACUAAGUCAGACGUGAAAUCCCUCGGCUUAAACCGGGAACGUGCGUCCUGAUACUGGAGUGGCUUGAGUUCGGGAGAGGGAGUGCGGAAGUUCCAGGUGUAGCGGUGGAAAUGCGUAGAGUAAUCUGGAGGAACACCGGUGGCGAAGGCGGCAGUCCUGGACCGACGACGUGACGCUGAGGAGGCGAAAGCCAGGG
rnacentral:rRNA from 1 species